GGAGGAGGGCCGCUUGAAAUGCAGGUGCAGCUGGACAUUCUUCUGAGCUAAAAGCAUAUCUAUUUAGUCCCUUCAAACGGAUUAUUACUUUUGCUUCAGCUAAUAUAAAGGUCGAAUGAACAACCAACGCUGAUUGCAGGAAAACUCGUUCUUAACCGAACUUGUAAACUCGAUCUCAAAUCAAGUAAGACUACCCGCUGAACUUAAGCAUAUCAAUAAGCGGAGGAAAAGAAACUAACAAGGAUUCCCCUAGUAACGGCGAGUGAAGCGGGAUGAGCUCAAAUUUAAAAUCUGGCUGGUUUACCAGUCCGAGUUGUAGUUUAAAGAAGCGUUUUCGGUGGCAGUCUCGGUAUAAAUCCUUUGGAAUAGGGUAUCAUAGAGGGUGAGAAUCCCGUCUUUGACUGAGAAUAUGCUACUAUGUGAUACGUUUUCAAAGAGUCGAGUUGUUUGGGAAUGCAGCUCAAAAUGGGUGGUAAAUUUCAUCUAAAGCUAAAUAUUGGCGAGAGACCGAUAGCGAACAAGUACCGUGAGGGAAAGAUGAAAAGAACUUUGAAAAGAGAGUUAAACAGUGCGCGAAAUUGUUGAAAGGGAAACGCUUGAAACCAGUCAUGCGGUUGGGAAAUCAGUCUCUGGCGAGGGGGAAUGGGGGAGGUGUGGACCGCAAGGCCGCUCUUUUCUAUAUUCUUUUCGUCAGGGAUGCACUUUUUCUUCUGCAGGUCAACAUCAGUUUGCUUUGCCGGACAAAACUCUUGGGAAGGUGACAGCUUAGGCUGUGUUAUAGCCCUUGAGCGAUACGGUGGAGUGGACUGAGGUUUUCGCAGCAUGUGCUCUCGGGCAAGGCUGAUUGGGUGCUAUGAGAUCGUUCAGGGUACAAUACAUGUAUUUUGCCUUGUGUCUUUUUUAUACUCGCUCAACUCGGCUCUUCCAUGCUUAGGAUGUUGACAUAAUGGUUUUAAUCGACCCGUCUUGAAACACGGACC
rnacentral:rRNA from 1 species